rnacentral:rRNA from 1 species
GACGAACCGUGCGAACGUUAUUCGGAAUCACUGGGCUUAAAGCGCGUGUAGGCGGGCCGCCACGUCGGCUGCUGAAAUCCCCCGGCUCAACCGGGGAACGGGCACCGAUACGAGCGGCCUCGAGGGGGGUAGGGGGGUCUGGAACUUCCGGUGGAGCGGUGAAAUGCGUUGAGAUCGGAAGGAACGCCCGUGGCGAAAGCGAGGCCCUGGACCCUUACUGACGCUGAGACGCGAAAGCCAGGGAGCGAACGGG